rnacentral:lncRNA from 1 species
GAAGGAUGUCGGUGGUCUCUUUGGACAAGUCCUAUUGUACACCUAUAAACAAGUCCGUAUCAGAAUUCAGAACAAGCCGAGGAAAAUGCUUCUGUAUAAGAAUAAGGUUAUAAAUUGUUCCUAGAAUUUCUUAAUUUGGCGAUAAUUAACAUUUUAUUUUAUUUUCAGAAUAAGCUACUAAAAUCAUUGAUCAAAGGACUACUUCAACGAUUAGAGUCUCGGUUCAAACUAAUCAACCUACCAAUUCGCUACUUUGUAAUUGAUAAAAUAUUUAGUGUGGACAGAGAAACUCUUAGUAAACAGAGGACCCACUAAUUCGCUACUUUUGUAUUU